rnacentral:rRNA from 1 species
GCGUGCCUAACACAUGCAAGUCGAGCGGGGUGAGUUCUUCGGAACGAUCCUAGCGGCGGACGGGUGAGUAACACGUGGGUAACCUGCCUCAAAGUGGGGGAUAGCCUUUCGAAAGGAAGAUUAAUACCGCAUAACCCAUAGCUUCCGCAUGGAAGCAAUGGUAAAGAUUUAUCGCUUUGAGAUGGACCCGCGGCGCAUUAGCUAGUUGGUGAGGUAACGGCUCACCAAGGCCACGAUGCGUAGCCGACCUGAGAGGGUGAUCGGCCACAUUGGAACUGAGACACGGUCCAGACUCCUACGGGAGGCAGCAGUGGGGAAUAUUGCACAAUGGGCGCAAGCCUGAUGCAGCAACGCCGCGUGAGUGAUGAAGGUCUUCGGAUUGUAAAGCUCUGUCUUUGGGGACGAUAAUGACGGUACCCAAGGAGGAAGCCACGGCUAACUACGUGCCAGCAGCCGCGGUAAUACGUAGGUGGCAAGCGUUGUCCGGAUUUACUGGGCGUAAAGGGUGCGUAGGUGGAUAUUUAAGUCAGAUGUGAAAUCCCUGGGCUCAACCCAGGACCUGCAUUUGAAACUAGAUGUCUAGAGUGCGGGAGANGUAAGUGGAAUCCUAGUGUAGCGGUGAAAUGCGUANAGAUNAGGAAGACACNAGUGGCGAAGGCGACUUACUGGACCGUAACUGACACUGAGGCACGAAAGCGUGGGUAGCAAACAGGAUUAGAUACCCUGGGUAGUCCACGCCGUAAACGAUGAGUACUANGUGUAGGGGGUANCGACUCCCCCUGUGCCGCANUUAANCAAUAANUAC